CAACGGGGGCUGUGGAAGCUGGGGAGACGAGCUGAGAGAGCUCCGGCAGGGCGUCAGCCAGCGGCCUCAUGUCUCCCACUACAGGAGUGGCCUGUCUCCGGACCUCAGCUGCUUGGAGCUCUUUCGCCUGCUUGAUGGAGCUGAUCUCUGAGAAACAGCAGCGAAAUUAUUACAGAUAGUCAACUAAAUACUCCACAGCUGAUGACAAAGAUUAAAGGACCACCUGCCAGGAUUCAUUCUUCUGUCAAACAGCUGAGCCCCAGUGAUGUGGAAACAAACCAAUAAAGUAUGUACUGCAUA